AGAGUUUGAUCCUGGCUCAGGACGAACGCUGGCGGCGUGCUUAACACAUGCAAGUCGAACGGAGCACCCUUGAAAGAGUUUUCGGACAAUGGAGAGGAAUGCUUAGUGGCGGACUGGUGAGUAACGCGUGAGGAACCUGCCUUCCAGAGGGGGACAACAGUUGGAAACGACUGCUAAUACCGCAUGACACAUUUGAAUCGCAUGGUUUGAAUGUCAAAGAUUUAUCGCUGGAAGAUGGCCUCGCGUCUGAUUAGCUAGUAGGCGGGGUAACGGCCCACCUAGGCGACGAUCAGUAGCCGGACUGAGAGGUUGACCGGCCACAUUGGGACUGAGAUACGGCCCAGACUCCUACGGGAGGCAGCAGUGGGGAAUAUUGGGCAAUGGGCGCAAGCCUGACCCAGCAACGCCGCGUGAAGGAAGAAGGCUUUCGGGUUGUAAACUUCUUUAAGAGGGAAGAGCAGAAGACGGUACCUCUUGAAUAAGCCACGGCUAACUACGUA
rnacentral:rRNA from 1 species